rnacentral:rRNA from 1 species
GACGAACGCUGGCGGCGUGCUUAACACAUGCAAGUCGAACGGAAAGGCCCUGCUUUUGUGGGGUGCUCGAGUGGCGAACGGGUGGGUAACACGUGAGUAACCUGCCCUUGACUUUGGGAUAACUUCAGGAAACUGGGGCUAAUACCGGAUAGGAGCUCCUGCUGCAUGGUGGGGGUUGGAAAGUUUCGGCGGUUGGGGAUGGACUCGCGGCUUAUCAGCUUGUUGGUGGGGUAGUGGCUUACCAAGGCUUUGACGGGUAGCCGGCCUGAGAGGGUGACCGGCCACAUUGGGACUGAGAUACGGCCCAGACUCCUACGGGAGGCAGCAGUGGGGAAUAUUGCACAAUGGGCGGAAGCCUGAUGCAGCAACGCCGCGUGCGGGACGACGGCCUUCGGGUUGUAAACCGCUUUCGCCUGUGACGAAGCGUGAGUGACGGUAAUGGGUAAAGAAGCACCGGCUAACUACGUG